UCCAUUUCCCACUUCUCGAGUUAGGCCCGGCCUCCUGACUCACUUUGACCAAGAGAAUGUGGCCACAGGAGUCGGCCAGUUCCCAGCCCAGGCCUCGAGAAGCCUCAUGGCUUCUGCUCUCCCCAUUUGUGGAACCUCGCCGGGACGGCAAGAAGCCUGGGGUAGGCUCUCCUGCUGGGUGACAGGUACUUGGCCCGUCACCCUGUCAUCCUUUCACCCCAGCUGACAGCCUGCUAACUACCUGAGGUGCGGAUGAGGCUGUCCUACACCAUCCAGUGACCUGCCAGCUCACCACAGACACAGGCCCGGGCCCAGCAGAGCCAGGCUGGACACUGCCCCCGCUGACCCACAGAGGCAGGAGCUAAUAAGUACAUGUUUCUUGUUUUCAGCCACUGGGUGGCUUGUGUGUGGCAAUAGAUACAGCAGAAAAUACCCCAAAGGGAAGGAAGGUAUGAAGUUGGAGGAAUUCCCACCAGACAGUAUGGCCUGCCACUUGCCCACGUUUUGAAAAUCACCCUUCUCAAACGCCUUGAGGAUUUUAAAAAGAAUCAAAGCUUUCAGUUUUGUUCCAGACGCCUCUGGGACCAGGGUAGAGCAGCCAGCAGGGGCUCUCCGGACGCUGCUCGCCGGUUAGGGCAGAGGCACGUGGACACAAACCCACCGAACCUCGGCCCUGGAAAUGCUCUCGCCAGCAACCCACCAGCCCGCAGCUUUCCGCUCCAGAGGACGGAGACAAUGUAAAGCUGGAAGUGAGAGGAAUGAGACUGAAGCCACUGCAACAUUUAGAGAUCUGGUAGAGGAAGAGCAAGCAAGCGAGACAGACAAAUGACCUGUGAAGUUGGAAGAAAACCAGAAGAUGGUGAUUCUAAGGAAGCUGAGCAAAGGAAGUAUUUCAAGAAGAGGGAUA